rnacentral:tRNA from 1 species
GAACGCAUGGCUUAGUGGUUAAAGUGCUUGUACAGGCGCGGGUUCAAAUCCCGUUACUUUUU